UUAAAUUGAAGAGUUUGAUCAUGGCUCAGAUUGAACGCUGGCGGCAGGCCUAACACAUGCAAGUCGAACGGUAACAGGAAGCAGCUUGCUGCUUCGCUGACGAGUGGCGGACGGGUGAGUAAUGUCUGGGAAACUGCCUGAUGGAGGGGGAUAACUACUGGAAACGGUAGCUAAUACCGCAUAACGUCGCAAGACCAAAGAGGGGGACCUUCGGGCCUCUUGCCAUCGGAUGUGCCCAGAUGGGAUUAGCUAGUAGGUGGGGUAACGGCUCACCUAGGCGACGAUCCCUAGCUGGUCUGAGAGGAUGACCAGCCACACUGGAACUGAGACACGGUCCAGACUCCUACGGGAGGCAGCAGUGGGGAAUAUUGCACAAUGGGCGCAAGCCUGAUGCAGCCAUGCCGCGUGUAUGAAGAAGGCCUUCGGGUUGUAAAGUACUUUCAGCGGGGAGGAAGG
rnacentral:rRNA from 1 species